rnacentral:ribozyme from 1 species
GCACAAGUGGUAGUACCCAGGCAAGAUGAAUCGAAUGGCCACGUACGCAAAGGUCGUGCACGAGCACGACCCUCUGCUGGAGCAGGCACCUCCACCACGGC